AUUUAAGUAAAGAGGUUGCCCGCACUAUUUAAAGUGCUCUCCCACACCCCAAAGCGUGUUUGUUUAUGUAGCCGAAUCUCAACCACUUAAAUUUGCAUAUGAUAUGGUUCUAAUAUGGUUAGCUCUGUCCUUUAAGAGUAUGCUCUUCCAUUCCAUUGGAUGUUGAAAUAACUAUUUUCUUCAGAGGAGAAACUGACGUUAAUGAUAAUCAUGGACGGUGGCUUUCUCUCCUCCAGCCCUACCUUAGCAAAGUGAAAAGCUAGCAGUCCUAGGUCAGUCUUCCAAAUCACUUCGUCUGCCACUCGCAUGUGGACAAGGCUUUGUCUGCUUUGCGCCUUGUGAUCUCCCCAGUGUCUGGCACCAGAGUCACUCUAUAAAUAUCUGUUGAAGUCGUUUUACUGGCCCGUAAAAUCUAAAGGGCUGGAGGGAACAAAAGCCUGUGAGAUGCACUGACCCUGUGGUCUGACAGACAGACAGGCUUGCAGCAGGGCCAAGCCCCACAGAGACGUCCUGUGAUCAUCUGUCUAAGGACGCAGCAGUCAAGGUGUUCCAACCAGCGAGGACAGAACCGUGUCCUGGCAGGGUCCCUCAGUGCAACGCAUGCUCUGCACAUUUCACUUAGGACGUCUUUCUCCCAAGGAGGGGAAGUAUUGCUCUUUCAUGCGCCUCAAAAGCCCACGAGAUCCUUGUGUUUUCACACCCAAAAAAGGACCACUUGGGAUUUGCAUUUCUCUGGUACAGAAAGAAGAAAAUAGACUCAUCAAGGAAGCACAGCAGAGACGAACCCCAGAACCCCCGCUGGGAAGCGUAUUCCCCGCACUCUGGGUUGGCACAAUAGGAAAUUCUGCUACCUCCUCGCCAGACCUGGCUUCUUGGCACCUGGGUGCGUCCCUCAACCCACAGUGGUCCACAUUUCUGAGCCCCUGCUACGCAUCAAGCACUGUUUUCCAAACGUGUUAUCACUAAUGCUCACGGCCACCUGUGACGGCGGGUAUUAAUGUCAUCUCCCAGUUUACAGAUGAGGAAACUGAAAUUCAGAGGGGUGACAAAGCUUGUCCAAAGCCAUCCGGCCAGGAGCGGCGAGAACCAACAGUGAAAGUCAAUUGCACCCAACUGACGCCUUGCCACCACACCGUGACAAGUCUCUGAAUUUAACGUCAAAGCAGCAGUGCUGUUCUUGGGCUUCGCUGUCAAUGAGGACCAGAACCGAGGCCAUCGAUGCAAGCUCCCACAGACAGCGGUCUGGUCCUGUAUUAAUUAGUCAGGGUACUCCAGGGACAUAGAACCAUCAGGAUGUGCAUACAUAAAGAUGACUCACAAGGAACUGGCUCAUGUGAUUACGGAGGCUGACAAGUCUCAAGAUCUGCGUCGGCAAGCUGGAGACUCAGGAGAGCCAAUAGCGGAGCGCCAGUCUGAAAGGCGGUGACUCCAGACCCACGAGAGGACCAAUGUCCCAGCUCAGCGGCCGGGCGGGAGGAAUCCCCUUUACUUUCUGGAGGGUCAGCCUCUUAGUUCUGUUUAGGCCGUCAACUGAUUGGCUGAGGCCCGCCUGCCUCAGGGAGGGCAACCUGCUUCACUCAGUCUACUGAUUGAAAUGUUCAUCCCAGCCAAAACCACUCUCACAGAAAGACCUGGAAUGAUGUCUGACCAAAUGUUUGGGCACCCUGUGACCCAGUCAAGUGGACACAUAAAAUUGGCCAUCACUAGUCAACUUUACGUGUCCACCUAACUAAUUAGCCAACGAGUCGUCCUCUUCUGAAGAGCUGCUUUCUAUGCAGUCCGGAGAGAGGUGCUGGAGAGGGGGUAACUGAGUGGAGUCUGAUGAUGGGACUUGUCAGAAAGGUGAGGGCAGGAUGGAGGAACUUAAGCUGGAGGGGUGGGGAAGUCCGGGGACCGCUAGAAGCCGCUAUGACCUCCGGGUCUGAUGGUGCAGGCAGAGGGGAUGUGCCAGGCACUGUUCAAAGCACCUGACACACAUUACCUUAAAAAAGUUUGAGAUGUAAUUCACAUACUGUACCAUUCAUUGAUUUAAAGUAUACAAUUCAAUGGC